GGCGCUUUGGCAGAGAUGGUCUAUGCACCGGACCGAAAAUCCGGCAAAGAAGGUUCGAGUCCUUUGGGCGCCA
rfam:Arachidicoccus sp. BS20, complete genome.